UCGAAUGUUUUCCUUCCUGGAAGAGAGAAACUGAAAGGCAGAACUGAGAAAGCUCUCUGCUCAUUGAUCUUGAGAGUUUCAGGGCAGAAACUGACGUGAAUUCCCAGCACCGGGCUCUGCCUCUUAAAGGAGCCACCAGGAAAUAAAAGCUCGGGUUACUGCGGGCCGCGGGGAAAUCAAAAGGCGUGCGGGGGAGGGGCGCGGGGUGCCCACGGGGCCGCCCCGAGGAGGAUGCCUUUGGGGAACCUCGCAGCGUGGCCCUAGGACUCUCAAGCCUGGUUCAUCCCGCUCCCGCCUCCCCAGGCUGCACCUCCGGGGAACCUGGGCCAUGCACAGUGGGGGCUUUUCUAUGCGCUCCCCGGGGCGCCGAUGCAACCCAGGGACUGCGGUCUAGGAAGGGACUUUCCGGGAAGGACGCGGCGCCGCAGGAGGAAGCGAGACAAUGGCCUUUGUUCUGCGCGGCGACCGCGGCCGCUUUAAGAGAAUCCACCAGGAAAUGGGAGCUCGGGUUACAGGCUGCGCACGGGGAAGUGCGGGGCGCGACGCCGGAGACAAAGCCGCGCGGCCGCGCUCGGGCCCGGGGACGCGGCGGGCGGGGACUCCCCGCGACGGGGGGCGCCCCUCGGCCUGACCUCCCGCCUUCCCCGAUUCGAAAUCCCCCGGCCAUUUAAAGCCACAGUGGCUGCUACCAACCGAAGGAAAGGAGGGCUUAAACAUCCAUUUAUCAGUUGAUUUGUUCAUGUCCUGGAGGUUGAACUCAGGCCUCAUGCGUUCUCAGCUAGUGCUCCACCAUUGACCUUCAUCCCCAGCUAAGCAGUUCUCGUUUUUUCCUUUGCGUCUUCUGAUGUUUGCAGACACCAGAUCUGAUGGGCUUUUGCUAAGUUAAGUCUUGUGCACCCUUAUAUCACUUACCUAUCAAUGGCACCUCUGAUAACUUCUCAGCUUCUAUGAGAUGGGAAGGAGUAGUACCUAAUUAAUAAGAUUUUCAUAAUUAUAAGAGGAUAUGCACGGUAGUCUUUCCUUAUCCAUGGAGGAUGUAUACCAAGAGGCCCAGGAUAUACUUAAAGCCAGACACUACACACAUAUAUGUACGUAUAUAUGUUGUCAUAUAUAUAUAUAUAUACAGACUCUUAUACAUAUAUACAAUAAAGUUUCAUUUAUAAAUUGGGCACAGUAAGAGACUAACCAUAAUUAAUAAUAAAACAGAGCAACUAUAUCCUACUACAAUAAAAGCUAAUAAAACAUACUACUGUGUCUGAAAAUUUGCAUGUCUGUGGCUGACUCUGGGUAACUGGAGCUGGGGAAAGCCAGCCUGUAGGUAUGGGGGACUUCUCUACAAAAAGUUUCUUUAGCAAAACAUUCUAUAUUACAUGUGUUAAUUGGUGUUAGCUAUGAUGAUUGCCUAACCUCGCAACUGAAUUAACUUCCAACUUCCAUUCCUGACAUGUCUUGGCCUUCUCCUGGUGAUUCAUAGAGGUGGCAGUUUGAGGUAGAAUGUCUGUGGUUCCAAAACAAAGUGCACAGUAGCAGCUAUCACAAAAGCUGCAUUUAGCCCAUGGUUGACAGGCUCUGCAAAAGGCCUUUUAGUAAAUACUUUAAGUUUUGUGGGCCAAGAGGCACAACUGAAGACUUUGUGUAAAUACCUAUAUAAUAAGAGGGCUGGAAAGUCCACAUAUUUUUGAACAGUAUUUUCAAUGCAAGUCUAUUAAUGAAAGGAAUGAAAUUCUCUUUGCAGGGAAUAAUUUUUACUGACCUGAGGUUCAAAGCAAGUAUUGUUCUUGUAGCCCAGGCUGGCCUCUAAUCUAUGCCAGAGGAUGGCCUUGAUCUGAGCCUCCAGCCUUCAUCUCCUGAGUGGUGGGUUAACCUCAUGCCUGCCUUUUUUAAUACUGCCUUUUGAUGGGAAUAUACAGGUUUGAUUUUGAAGCUCCUCUUCACCCACAUAGGUGGCACCACACGUUCAUAGGAAUCCAUGAGUGUGUGAUUUUAUUUGACUUUCAGUUCUCUGAAGACAUUUUAAAAAUUCUAUUAGAACUCUACAGAUUCUCACAACAGCUCACCCGGAACCUGCAAAUUAGCUCAGUACAGUUGAAAUUAGGUGGACUCUCCUCAGUGGCAGUCAAAUGGAUCUUAAAUGUGCAAAUAGCCUUUGCACUUCCAAUGACGUUUUUUCAAAAAUCCCUCUUGGAACUGUAGUUUGAGCACAGAAAAACACACCGGUGCUGGAAUGGAGACCUUGCUUCCUGUUUUAACUGUUGACAGAAUGGGGAGUGUGAGGAGCAGCUCAUCAUUAUUUGUGGUGGAAUCGAUGUUAGUUGUAUCAAAAUGAUUUUACUACAGUAGGCAUUUUACUUACCAGCUCUGUUUUCCUUGCAGUUUUAGGUUGAAUUCAUGACAAAACAUUAUCUGUGGCAGAAGCAAAUUUCCAAAGACAAAUUGACCAGGAGUAGCACAUGUCCCAGCAUCAAACUCGGGUCUCCAGAUGUUCGUGGGAAGUGCCUCUACCUGCUGAGCCAUCUCACCAGCCCUCAGUUUAAAUCUUUAAUUAUCACCAUCUACCUUCAAAGUAACUGUGGCCUGGUGUGUCAAUGCAGCCUUUAAUCCAGUGGUUCUCAACCUGUGGCUUCAAAACCUCUUUGGGGUCAAAGGACCAUUUCACAGGGGUCACAUAUCUGAUAUCCUGCAUAUCAGAUAUUUACAUUAUGAUUCAUAACAAUAACAAAGUUACAGUUACUAAGUAGCAACGAAAAUAAUUUUAUGGUUGGAGGUCAUCACAGCAUGAGGAACUGUAUUAAAGGGUCCCAGCAUUAGGGAGGUUGAGAUCCACUGCUUUAAUCCCAGCACGUGGGAGACAGGAAGGCCAAUCUCUGUGAGUUCAAUGCCAGCCUGAUCUACAUAGAAAGUUUCAAGCCAGGGCAAUAAAGUGAGACACAGUCUCAAAACACAAAAGAGAGCAAACAAACAAAAAUAAUGUUACUCUGUUAAUAAUAUACAUAUAAGAAAUUAAUAAUUGCAUAAUUCCAUCUAUCCCUCUCCUAUGCUCUGUGAUACUAUAGUCUUACAUUUUGCUUCUCCUAUUACAAAAUGUGCUGAACACUGUAAUGUUUUGAUGUGUGGAAAUGUGUAACUGUUGUACAUGAUGACUGUGAAAAUAUAUCUCUGAUUUGUGAAGCUAUUUCUCUUUUCUGCUUUUCUCAUUAUUAUUUCAUAUAGAUCUGUCUGACUGUCCACCUAAUAUCACUUCCCUUUGGCCUCAAGCAUUUCUUUCAGCGUCUGUCAGUGAUGAACUCAAUCAGCUUUGGUCUAUCUGAGGGUGUAUUUACUUCAUAUUCAUUUAUGAAGGAUACUUUCACUAUAUAGAAACAUGAAAUUGGUUGAUCGUUUCCCCUUUUGGCAAUUAUUUUUUACAGUUUUUUAUCUUUUCUUUUUUAUGUGUAUGGGUGUUUUGCCUGUAUGUAAGUCUGUGUGAGGAGUGUCAGAUCUUGGAGGUAUAGACAGUUGUGAGCUGGGAAAUGAACCCGGGUCCUCUGGAAGAGCAGUCAGUGCUCUUAACCACUGAGCCAUCUCUCUAACCCAUGUAUGGGUGUUUUGCCUGUAUGUAAGUCUGUACAGCAGGUACAUGUGGUGCAUAUCGAGGCUAGAAGAGGGCACUGGAUCCCCUGACUCUGGAGUUAGAGACCUUUGUGAGUCACCAUGUGGGUCCUGGGAAUUGAACCUAGGUCUUCUGGAAAAGCAGUCAGUGCUGAGUGACUUCUCCAGGCCCCCUCUUGGCAAUUUAAACAUGCAGCUCUUCUCCUGUCUCCAGUUUUUUUCCCCAAGGAAGUAUAUUUCAGUGUUUCUCUUUCCUCACUGUCCCCGGUUCAACUACACUGAUCCUUCCUUGCAUACUGCCCCAGUUUUUCCCUUCAUGUCCCAUGUGUCCUCCCCGAAUCUUUCCACACCACCUAUUUUUCAGCUCUCUCUUGGUCUCCUUUCUGUGUUUUUUUAGGCUUUACAUAUUUACAUCAAUUUAUAUACUUCUAGGCCACAUAUGAGAACAUUCAGUUUUUGUCUUUCUGAGUUUGGGUCACCUCAUUUUAAUAUUGUGCUUUUCAGAUCUAUCAGUUUACCUGAAAUUUUAUUAUUUAAAUUUUUUCUUUCUUUUUGAAUAAAUUCCACUGUAUAGGGGCUGGAAAGAUGGCUUGAAGGUUAAGAGUACUCACUACCCUCAAAAGGGACAUAGGUUCAAUUCCCAUCACCCACAUGGCAAACUCAUAACUAUCUGUAACUGCAGUUACAGGGGGUUCAACACUGUCCUCUGACAUCCAUGAGCAUUACGCAUGCACAUGAUGCACUUAAAAACAUACAGACAAAAAAUGCUUAUACACAUAAAGAUAAAUAAAUUUUAAAAUGUCCUAUUGCAUAUAUGUAACACAUUUUCAUUGUGCAUUCAUCUAUUGAACAUCUAAGUUGGUUCCCUUUCCUUGCUCUAAUGAGUACAGCAGAAAUAACCAUUGUUUUUGUAAAAAUUCACUUAAUAGUUUGUAUUUGGCACAUAGUAUGUGGUGUAUGGCUGCUCUAAAGAUCUCUUUAAAUUUGGUUCCGAAUUCUGGCUAUGGCAUAAUUGUCUCUGCAGUAUUCUGGUUUAUACUGGGCACAGCUCAUGGAACUGUGAGUUGAUAAUUUACUAUUUAUUUUCAAAAAUUCUCAUUAAUUAUCUCUUUAAAUACUUUAUCUGCCUGUUUUCUCUGUCCUCUUAAUACUUUGAUGAUAGAAAUAUUGGAAUAUAUACUCUAUUUUAUCUUUUUUCUUCUUUUAUUUCAGUUUGUUUUUCUGUUUAUUAGUUUUCAAAUUUUUCCCUUCUCUUUUUUUCCAAUUUACUAUUAAACUUACCUAAUUCUUUA